rnacentral:lncRNA from 1 species
AAAAUAUGCCAUGGGCAUUGCUGCAAGAUUGAUAUUCUCCACGGCUUGUACACUGGAUUUUUCCUUUAGCUACAUAAUGGAAUACAGCUUCUGA